rnacentral:rRNA from 1 species
ACGUAGGGUGCGAGCGUUAAUCGGAAUUACUGGGCGUAAAGGGUGCGCAGGUGGUUUUGUAAGUCAGAUGUGAAAUCCCCGGGCUUAACCUGGGAAUUGCGUUUGUGACUGCACGGCUAGAGUGUGUCAGAGGGGGGUAGAAUUCCACGUGUAGCAGUGAAAUGCGUAGAUAUGUGGAGGAAUACCGAUGGCGAAGGCAGCCCCCUGGGAUAACACUGACGCUCAUGCACGAAAGCGUGGGGAGCAAACAGGA